rnacentral:rRNA from 1 species
GCAGCCGCGGUAAUUCCAGCUCCAAAAGCGUAUACUAAAGUUGUUGCAGUUAAAAAGCUCGUAGUUGAACUUCUGUACAGUCUCACUUCUGGCUUCGGUCAAGGUGUUGGCUGUGCAUCCGCUUGCAAAGCUGGUUCGGCCUUAACUGGUCGGCUAGUAGAGUAAGCCCUUUACUUUGAAAAAAUUAGAGUGUUUCAGGCAGGCAAUGGCUCGAAUACAUUAGCAUGGAAUAAUGGAAUAGGACUUUUGUCCAUUUGGUUGGUUCUUGGACUUAAGUAAUGAUUAAAAGGGACAGUUGGGGGCAUUGGUAUUUAACAGUCAGAGGUGAAAUUCUUGGAUUUGUUAAAGACUAACUUAUGCGAAAGCAUCUGCCAAGGAUGUUUUCAUUGAUCAAGAACGAAAGU